rnacentral:rRNA from 1 species
UACGGGGGGCAAGCGUUGUUCGGAAUUACUGGGCGUAAAGGGCUCGUAGGCGGCCAACUAAGUCAGACGUGAAAUCCCUCGGCUUAACCGGGGAACUGCGUCUGAUACUGGAUGGCUUGAGUUUGGGAGAGGGAUGCGGAAUUCCAGGUGUAGCGGUGAAAUGCGUAGAUAUCAGGAGGAACACCGGUGGCGAAGGCGGAUCUCUGGGCCAUUACUGACGCUGAGGAGCGAAAGCGUGGGGAGCGAACAGG